UACGUAGGGGGCAAGCGUUGUCCGGAAUCAUUGGGCGUAAAGAGCGCGUAGGCGGCCCGGUAAGUCCGCUGUGAAAGUCAGGGGCUCAACCCUUGGAUGCCGGUGGAUACUGUCGGGCUAGAGUCCGGAAGAGGCGAGUGGAAUUCCUGGUGUAGCGGUGAAAUGCGCAGAUAUCAGGAGGAACACCAAUGGCGAAGGCAGCUCGCUGGGACGGUACUGACGCUGAGGCGCGAAAGCGUGGGGAG
rnacentral:rRNA from 1 species